rnacentral:rRNA from 1 species
AUUGAACGCUGGCGGCAGGCCUAACACAUGCAAGUCGAGCGGAUGAAGGGAGCUUGCUCCUGGAUUCAGCGGCGGACGGGUGAGUAAUGCCUAGGAAUCUGCCUGGUAGUGGGGGAUAACGUCCGGAAACGGGCGCUAAUACCGCAUACGUCCUGAGGGAGAAAGUGGGGGAUCUUCGGACCUCACGCUAUCAGAUGAGCCUAGGUCGGAUUAGCUAGUUGGUGGGGUAAAGGCCUACCAAGGCGACGAUCCGUAACUGGUCUGAGAGGAUGAUCAGUCACACUGGAACUGAGACACGGUCCAGACUCCUACGGGGGGCAGCAGUGGGGAAUAUUGGACAAUGGGCGAAAGCCUGAUCCAGCCAUGCCGCGUGUGUGAAGAAGGUCUUCGGAUUGUAAAGCACUUUAAGUUGGGAGGAAGGGCAGUAAGUUAAUACCUUGCUGUUUUGACGUUACCAACAGAAUAAGCUCCGGCUAACUUCGUG